GCUGAAGUAGCUCAAUUGGUAGAGCAACUGAAUCGUAAUCAGUAGGUUGCGGGUUCAAUUCCUGUCUUCAGCUCCA
rnacentral:tRNA from 1 species